rnacentral:rRNA from 1 species
UACGUAGGGUGCGAGUGUUAAUCGGAAUUACUGGGCGUAAAGCGUGCGCAGGCGGUUUUGUAAGUCAGAUGUGAAAUCCCCGGGCUUAACCUGGGAACUGCGUUUGAAACUACAAGGCUAGAGUGUGGCAGAGGGGGGUGGAAUUCCACGUGUAGCAGUGAAAUGCGUAGAGAUGUGGAGGAACACCGAUGGCGAAGGCAGCCCCCUGGGUUAACACUGACGCUCAGGCACGAAAGCGUGGGGAGCAAACAGG